rnacentral:rRNA from 1 species
UACGAAGGGUGCAAGCGUUAAUCGGAAUUACUGGGCGUAAAGGGUGCGUAGGCGGUUGUUUAAGUCUGCCGUGAAAUCCCCGGGCUCAACCUGGGAAUUGCAUUGGAUACUGGCAGGCUAGAGUGCGGUAGAGGAUGGCGGAAUUCCCGGUGUAGCAGUGAAAUGCGUAGAGAUCGGGAGGAACAUCUGUGGCGAAGGCGGCCAUCUGGACCAGCACUGACACUGAGGCACGAAAGCGUGGGGAGCAAACAGG